rnacentral:rRNA from 1 species
UACAGAGGGCGCGAGCGUUGUCCGGAAUCACUGGGCGUAAAGGGCGCGUAGGUGGCCACCAUAAGGCCGCGGUGAAAGUUUGGGGCUCAACCCCGGGUCGGCCAUGGCAACUACUCGGCUGGAGCACAGUAGAGGCAGGCGGAAUUCCGGGUGUAGCGGUGAAAUGCGCAGAUAUCGGGAGGAACAUCGAUGGCGAAGGCAAUCACCUGGGCCUGAACUGACACUGUGACACGAAAGCGUGGGUAGCAAACAGGGAU